rnacentral:rRNA from 1 species
AAGAGCAGCCGUUUGAUCUUGGUGCAGUCUGUGUUGUGUGCAAUACUGAUUCAUGCGAUGAUAGCUCUUGAGCUGCCGCAGAAGACGAUUACGGCGAGGAACAAAAUUCGUCGAGGGUUCCUUUGGUGCGCCACAGCGCAGGACAAUGGCAGGCAAUGUGCGGUGGCAUGGGAGCAUGUGUGCUCACCCAAGUGGGCAGGUGGACUCGGCAACCCAAACCUAAGACGGCUUAAUAUUGUGAUGCAAUCUCGAUGGCCGUGGUUGCUGUUAGAGUUGUGUCGAAUAUUAUUAUACAAGAUAGGUUAUAGUUGGGUUUGGUUUUGGAUUGUGAGUAGACAGGGUAGGAGUUGUGACCUAAUAGGACACUUGUAUCCUAGGCCUCUCAUAUAUAUCGGGGGUAGACACACGAUAUAA